CCGUGAGAGCCACGUAACCUGUGACAAGGUGGAACGGGAGGGAGCCUCUUCCCUCCACUCCAGCCCGGACUUGACAAGUGUAUUGCGGAGCCCCGCUCUUUACUCCUGCUCUUGGGAGACCUCCGUGUGUGCCUCGGUCCUGUGCACCUCUCACCUGAGCAUCAGAGUCCCAUAUCCAGCUGUGUCCACUUAGCAUCUCAAACUUGGAAUGACCGAGCCCUGCGUCUCUCCCACACCUACGUGCCUCACAGUUGGCCCUACCGUCUUUAGAACACUCUCAGUGCCCAGUUCUGAUGGCAGCCUCUGGGGAGCUUUCCCCCCCUUUUCUGGACUCUCGUAAGACUAGAGUUUCUGUCCAGGAGCCUGGGUGGCUCAGUCGGUGAAGCGUCCAACUUCGGCUCAGGUCAUGAUCUCGUGGUUUGUGGGUUUGUGGCCCGUGUCAGGCUCUGGGCCGACGGCUCGGAGCCCGGAGCCCGCUUCCGAUUCUGUGUCUCCCUCUCUCUCUGCCCCUCCCCCACUCGUGC